rnacentral:lncRNA from 1 species
GUGGCAGGAAACGGAGGUCCAACAUCAACGAUCAAAGGUCUUGAUUCAUCUUGAAUCAAGGAGCAAGGAUAAGAAGUAUCAUUCAACACAGUGGAAGUUCUGUUGUUUACAUACUUUGCAAUCCUUGUAAAAACGAUUAAAUCUUACAGGUGAUAGCUAAUCUAUAUCUCAAUUCUAAUUUUAGAAUUGAGGGCAGACGUACCCCGAAGCGAGGAC